UACAGAGGUCUCAAGCGUUGUUCGGAUUCAUUGGGCGUAAAGGGCGCGUAGGCGGCCUGAUAAGUCGGGGGUGAAAGCCUGUGGCUCAACCACAGAAUUGCCUUCGAUACUGUUGGGCUUGAGACCGGAAGAGGUAAGUGGAACUGCGAGUGUAGAGGUGAAAUUCGUAGAUAUUCGCAAGAACACCAGUGGCGAAGGCGGCUUACUGGUCCGGAUCUGACGCUGAGGCGCGAAAGCGUGGGGAGCAAACAGG
rnacentral:rRNA from 1 species